rnacentral:rRNA from 1 species
UUACGCUGUUAUCCCUAAGGUAAUUUAAUCUUAUAAUCAAUAAAAUUGGAUCAAUUUAUCAUAAAUAAAUCUAUAAAACAAAAAAGAGUUAAUUAAUUCUUCCUAUCACCCCAACAAAACAUAUCAAUUAUUUAAUAAAAAUAAUCAAACAAAAUAAAUAUAAAAAUAUGUAUAAACUCUAUAGGGUCUUCUCGUCCCAUAAAUAAAUUUAAGCUUUUUAACUUAAAAAUUAAAUUCAAAUAAAAUAAUAAGAAACAGUAUAUUCCUCGUCCAACCAUUCAUUCCAGUCCACAAUUAAAGGACUAAUGAUUAUGCUACCUUUGCACGGUCAAAAUACCGCGGCCCUUCAAAAUUAAUCAGUGGGCAGGUCAUACUUUAUAUUUAUACAGAGAUAUGUUUUUGUUAAACAGGCG